rnacentral:rRNA from 1 species
UACGUAGGUGGCAAGCGUUGUCCGGAUUUAUUGGGUUUAAAGGGUGCGUAGGCGGCCCUGUAAGUCAGUGCUGAAAUCCCCCGGCUUAACCUGGGAACUGCGUCUGAUACUGGAAGGCUUGAGUGCGGGAGAGGGAUGUGGAAUUCCAGGUGUAGCGGUGAAAUGCGUAGAUAUCUGGAGGAACACCGGUGGCGAAGGCGGCAUCCUGGACCGACACUGACGCUGAGGCGCGAAAGCUAGGGUAGCAAACGGG